rnacentral:rRNA from 1 species
UACGUAGGGUGCGAGCGUUAAUCGGAAUUACUGGGCGUAAAGCGUGCGCAGGCGGAUUGUUAAGCAAGAUGUGAAAUCCCCGGGCUUAACCUGGGAAUUGCAUUUUGAACUGGCAGUCUAGAGUGUGGCAGAGGGGAGUGGAAUUCCACGUGUAGCGGUGAAAUGCGUAGAUAUGUGGAGGAACACCAGUGGCGAAGGCGGCCCCCUGGGAUAACACUGACGCUGAGGUGCGAAAGCGUGGGGAGCAAACAGG